rnacentral:rRNA from 1 species
CUACGGGGGGCAGCAGUGGGGAAUAUUGCACAAUGGGCGCAAGCCUGAUGCAGCCAUGCCGCGUGUAUGAAGAAGGCCUUCGGGUUGUAAAGUACUUUCAGCGGGGAGGAAGGGAGUAAAGUUAAUACCUUUGCUCAUUGACGUUACCCGCAGAAGAAGCACCGGCUAACUCCGUGCCAGCAGCCGCGGUAAUGCGGAGGGUGCAAGCGUUAAUCGGAAUUACUGGGCGUAAAGCGCACGCAGGCGGUUGUUUAAGUCAGAUGUGAAAUCCCCGGGCUCAACCUGGGAACUGCAUCUGAUACUGGCAAGCUUGAGUCUCGUAGAGGGGGGUAGAAUUCCAGGUGUAGCGGUGAAAUGCGUAGAGAUCUGGAGGAAUACCGGUGGCGAAGGCGGCCCCCUGGACGAAGACUGACGCUCAGGUGCGAAAGCGUGGGGAGCAAACAGGAUUAGAUACCCUUGUAGUC